CUGCGAAUGGCUCAUUAAAUCAGUUAUCGUUUAUUUGAUAGUACCUUACUACUUGGAUAACCGUGGUAAUUCUAGAGCUAAUACAUGCUAAAAACCCCAACUUCGGGAGGGGUGUAUUUAUUAGAUAAAAAACCAACGCCCUUCGGGGCUCCUUGGUGAAUCAUAAUAACUUAACGGAUCGCAUGGCCUUGCGCCGGCGACGGUUCAUUCAAAUUUCUGCCCUAUCAACUUUCGAUUGUAGGGUAUUGGCCUACAAUGGUAUCAACGGGUAACGGGGAAUUAGGGUUCGAUUCCGGAGAGGGAGCCUGAGAAACGGCUACCACAUCCAAGGAAGGCAGCAGGCGCGCAAAUUACCCAAUCCCGACACGGGGAGGUAGUGACAAUAAAUACUGAUACAGGGCUCUUUUGGGUCUUGUAAUUGGAAUGAGUACAAUUUAAAUCCCUUAACGAGGAACAAUUGGAGGGCAAGUCUGGUGCCAGCAGCCGCGGUAAUUCCAGCUCCAAUAGCGUAUAUUAAAGUUGUUGCAGUUAAAAAGCUCGUAGUUGAACCUUGGGCCUGGCUGGCCGGUCCGCCUCACCGCGUGCACUGGUCCGGCCGGGCCUUUCCUUCUGGAGAGCCGCAUGCCCUUCACUGGGUGUGUCGGGGAACCAGGACUUUUACUUUGAAAAAAUUAGAGUGUUCAAAGCAGGCCUUUGCUCGAAUACAUUAGCAUGGAAUAAUAGAAUAGGACGUGCGGUUCUAUUUUGUUGGUUUCUAGGACCGCCGUAAUGAUUAAUAGGGAUAGUCGGGGGCAUCAGUAUUCAAUUGUCAGAGGUGAAAUUCUUGGAUUUAUUGAAGACUAACUACUGCGAAAGCAUUUGCCAAGGAUGUUUUCAUUAAUCAGUGAACGAAAGUUAGGGGAUCGAAGACGAUCAGAUACCGUCGUAGUCUUAACCGUAAACUAUGCCGACUAGGGAUCGGGCGAUGU
rnacentral:rRNA from 1 species